rnacentral:rRNA from 1 species
CCUACGGGAGGCUGCAGUGGGGAAUAUUGCGCACUGGGCGAAAGCCUGACGCCGCGACGCCGCGUGCGGGAUGAAGGUCUUCGGAUCGUAAACCUCUGUCAGCAGUGAAGAACGGUCACUGUGCUAAUCAGCAGUGCAUUGACGGUACCUGCAAAGGAAGCACCGGCUAACUCCGUGCCAUCAGCCUCGGUAAUCCGGAGGGUGCGAGCGUUAAUCGGAAUUCCUGGGCGUAAAGCGCUCGUAGGCGGUAUGUCAAGUCAAGGGUGAAAUCCCCGCGCUCAACGUGGGAACUGCCUUUGAAACUGGCAAACUGGAGUGUGUGAGAGGAGAGUGGAAUUCCAGGUGUAGGAGUGAAAUCCGUAGAGAUCUGGAGGAACAUCAGGGGCGAAGGCGACUAGCUGGAACAUAACUGACGCUGAGGAGCGAAAGCGUGGGUAGCAAACAGGAUUAGAGACCCGAGUAGUC